CGAUGGAAUGGUGAAAUCGUCAAGGAUUUGGGAAGCUAAGGAGGUUGUGCGUUUGGGAAAGUCAAAUGACUACCAUCUUUAUAAGCUCAAACUGCCUUCAGAUGACUAAGGAACCAGCAGCUGGUUGCUUAGCAUUUUGGAUGCUGAUUUUGGAACAUCCGAAGUUGGAUAUCUUUUCUUCAAGAAAUUUGCUAGCUCCGGAACACUGGUGUUGAUGGCAGAACAAAUGUAUCGUCCGGAAGCUGAUUCUUUCUCAGCAACAAAAAUAUGGGCGCGACAAACAUCCUCCGCAUGUGUAAUAGAUAUUGAACCUGAUAACAUCUGCAUGCCCUUCAAGUUACUUAUAAGGAAUUCAUUCCCUGUCAAAAAAUUGCAAAUUUAAGCUACCUUAAUUCGAGGAUCAAGCUUACCAGAAUGCUUCAAUUGAAGUAGUUGAUCCAACGAGUAAUGACCUUUACUAGUGCUUCUUCCCGGACAGUUUAACUUUUGGAUGUGGUCGCCACAUAAUUCAAUAUGGUCGCAGAGUGUAUGGAGGUUCUAGAUUCAAAGAGCAAUUUCCAUGUUUGACCAGUAACAGAAAGAAUCAGGCUCGCAUGUAAGGUUACAUGUUAAGGACAUACUUAAGUAACAAAUUUAACCUCUUAAAUGAAGUGGUUACACAAUUCA